UAGAGUUUGAUCCUGGCUCAGGAUGAACGCUAGCUACAGGCUUAACACAUGCAAGUCGAGGGGCAGCAUGUUGGUUGCUUGCAACCAACGAUGGCGACCGGCGCACGGGUGAGUAACGCGUAUCCAACCUACCCUUGUCCAUCGGAUAACCCGUCGAAAGGCGGCCUAACACGAUAUGCGGUUCACAGCAGGCAUCUAACGUGAACGAAAUGUGAAGGAGAAGGAUGGGGAUGCGUCUGAUUAGCUUGUUGGUGGGGUAACGGCCCACCAAGGCGACGAUCAGUAGGGGUUCUGAGAGGAAGGUCCCCCACAUUGGAACUGAGACACGGUCCAAACUCCUACGGGAGGCAGCAGUGAGGAAUAUUGGUCAAUGGACGAGAGUCUGAACCAGCCAAGUAGCGUGCAGGAAGACGGCCCUAUGGGUUGUAAACUGCUUUUAUAGGGGGAUAAAGUGUGCCACGUGUGGCAUAUUGCAGGUACCCUAUGAAUAAGGACCGGCUAAUUCCGUGCCAGCAGCCGCGGUAAUACGGAAGGUCCAGGCGUUAUCCGGAUUUAUUGGGUUUAAAGGGAGCGUAGGCCGUUUGGUAAGCGUGUUGUGAAAUGUCGGGGCUCAACCUGGGCAUUGCAGCGCGAACUGCCAGACUUGAGUGCGCAGGAAGUAGGCGGAAUUCGUCGUGUAGCGGUGAAAUGCUUAGAUAUGACGAAGAACUCCGAUUGCGAAGGCAGCCUGCUGUAGCGCAACUGACGCUGAAGCUCGAAAGCGUGGGUAUCGAACAGUAUUAGAUACCCUGGUAGUCCACGCGGUAAACGAUGGAUGCUCGCUGUUUGCGUCUGACGUAAGCGGCCAAG
rnacentral:rRNA from 1 species